rnacentral:lncRNA from 1 species
GUAUUUAAGGAGAGAUUGAUAUGCAUAAGACGGGAUGUGUAACUUGUCGGAUCAACAGCGUAUCGGAUUUUCCAUGGAAGAUGCAGUGGUUAGUAGUGGUGGCAUUUUAUCUUUAGUUAAAACAUUUCAAUAAGAUCCCUUUACUGCACUGAUGCUGUCAUCAGACUGAGCCAAAAACAUCUGAAAAUGUUGACAAAGCAAGGUGAUUUUGAAUUUGUGACAAGCACUGCUUUAAGCUUCAGUUUCACAGAAAGAAAACAGUCCCUUUUACAGACCUACAUUACAAGUAAGUACACAAGCAAGUAUCAACAUAAAUAUUUGAAAACAAAUGAUUAUAUAUUUAUCAAUUAAAUUGGUAUUGGGAUGUGUGUGUGUGUUACUCUUCACUUCAAACACUAGGAAUACCAGAUAAGCUACCAUCUAUGUAUGGAUGAUAAAUAAAAUAUGAUUAAUAUCACACUGAAAAUAGUUCUCAUAAAGCCCAUUUAGGGAUUUUGUUACAGUACUUGAAAAAAAUCGAUUUGCUAGCAACAUAAUAAAAUCUUAGAAAUUUUAAAAAGUGAUGUUUUCUGGAAUGUCAUCACAGCUAAAUACAUCAGAUAAUGUGAUAUAUGAGAGAAAAAGAUUUUAUAUCCUUG